UACGUAGGGUGCGAGCGUUGUCCGGAUUUAUUGGGCGUAAAGAGCUCGUAGGCGGUCUGUCGCGUCGGUCGUGAAAACUUGGGGCUUAACCCUGAGCUUGCGGUCGAUACGGGCAUGACUGGAGUUCGGCAGGGGAGACUGGAAUUCCUGGUGUAGCGGUGAAAUGCGCAGAUAUCAGGAGGAACACCGGUGGCGAAGGCGGGUCUCUGGGCCGAUACUGACGCUGAGAAGCGAAAGCGUGGGGAGCGAACAGG
rnacentral:rRNA from 1 species